GUUUUAAUGAUAUUUCAGAAAAUAAUAUCUUCAAAAUCAGACAUAAUAAACCCACAAAAAAAAAACAGUUUUAAAAUUUAUUUUCAUUUUUUCAAAAUACUCAUCAAAUCUUACAUUCUUUACUUUACCCACGAUGUCUACUUUAUUUAAUGAUAUUCCAGAAUUUUUUUUUUUUCAAAUUUUUUUUCUUCCAAAAGUAGGCAUAAUAAACCCACCAAUUGAUAAAUACAUAGUUUUUUUUAAAAAAAUCCAGUCUCUCAAAAUACUCAUCAAAAUUUACAUUUUUUACUUUACCCAUGAUGUAUACGUUGUUUUAAUGAUAUUUCAUUAAAAAAAAUCAAAAACACGGCAAUAAUAAACCCCUC
rnacentral:lncRNA from 1 species